CUACAGCACUGUCAGAUUGAAAGUUCAAGGCUAUUGGCCAAGCAGCAAUGAAAGAUAAGCAAGUGAUUGUCAAGUCUGGAUGGAUGCUGCCUGGAUUAGAGAGCAUGUCUUGAGGAAAGGCUGAACGAGAAUUCAACAGGCUGGCUUUCACCCUAGAGCCAAUCUGCCAUCAUGGAAAUCGGGACGCCACACAACAACGCUUGCGCAAAGCCAGCCUCAGCAGCGACACCAACCAGAACAAAGGGGCAGGGCAGGGCAGCUCUGUUUCGAGUAGUCACAUAUCACCAUUAGCAUGUGCAGGAUUGGGACAGAUUUAACUGCCACCCAUCAAUAACAGAUCAUUAAAUCUUACUCUAAUGACGUACUUCUCUUUCAAUAUUUUUUAGUUUCUGCUUAAAGGAAUACAGAGUACAAGAUGAUAUAUAUUACAAGUAAAAAAAAGUACCAAAUACAUUGUAUUAAAAAUACAGUUACAACCACUAAACCUUGUAUUCAUAAAAAUUAAAUCGUAACAUUGAAAUAUAAAAAAAAUUGGUAUACAGAAAAAAAAUCUAAACCCACUACCAAAGUCAAAGCUGUUAGGAAAAGCAAGAAAAAAAAAGGGGGAACCCUUACCAUAUAAUAAAAUAUAUUAUUAGCCACCAUCUGUACUUUUACAACAAAUCAAAGGUUUUGAAAGUAAGUCAAAAAUGGUCCCCACAACGUAUAAAAGUCUUGACUGGAUUCAAAAACUGAACAUCGGAUCUUCGCUAAAUUUAAGCAUGACAUAACAUCCCGUAACCCAUAAUGACAUAACAUCCCGUAACCCAUAAUGACAUUCUUCGAGUCACCCACAAAACCCUUUGCUACAGUCAAAGGACAGCGGUGACUAUGUCAUGUCCAUUUAGGAGAGCGCCAACCACAUAAUCAACAACAAUCAGCUUCUUUUGGUAUUACUGCUUUGUAUCUUCCAUCUAGCAUUAGGGUAAAAAAAAUAUGGUCAGCCUAAUUAUGCCGUGUGGAAAGAGAAGGGGGAUGCCAAACGUCAUCGAGAAGCAGCAAGGAGAGGGAGAGAACAAGAAUCAGAUGAGGCCAGGGCUGCACGACUCCAGGAUCAGAGAGUCAGGACAAAAAAAGAUGAGAGGAGAGGCAUGCACGUCUCCAGAAUGACAACAGGCACAGAAGGAGGAGAGAGGAAGAGACAAAGGAGCUGAGAAAUGCAUAUCUCCAAAAUCAGAGACAAAGAACAAACAGCAGAAGAGAUGAAGAGACAGCACAUGAAAGGACUGCACGUCUCCAGAAUGGCAAUGAGAAGCACAAGGGUAGCUGAUCAACCAGAAAUGUUGCCAACAGAAGUGUCCUUUGUUAAACGAGGAGGAGCUAUAUUUGCCUUGCUACCCGUCUUUCUUUAAUAAACUGGUUUUUAUUCUUCAAUUUCCAAAGCAAAGCAAUACCAAUAGCAUUAAGGAAAAUCUAACGUUCAUACUGGUCACAUCAGACUGUACUACCUUUCUCUCAAAGGAUGUCCCAACGGGUCACCCCGUUGUCUAGUAAUCAUACUACAAUUGAUUUAGAUGUGUCUAGAAGUGCAAUAUUGCAUUGAAGAGUAUAUGCAAUCAUCUAACCAUCUCAAAAUAUGGUAAUAGUAAAAUAUACUUUGCAGACACUGGGUAACCACAACUUUUUCAGUGCAAAAUCAAUGAAUAAACACAAUAGAACUUUCUUCACCAAAUCCAGUUUCCUAUUUACUUAUGAAUUAUAACUCAGCAAUUACAAAAUCUCCACUUGCAGUGACUGUUUAAACACAAGUACUGCACUGGAAACUACAAAUUCCUCACUAUAUAACAUUGGAUAACUGCAACUUCUUCCCAGUACAACAUCAAUGACUGACUUCAACUCUAACCUGCAACAUGUAAUGUUAUAAACAACAAGGAACAGCAAGCAUAUGGAAUAGUUUUCCAAUU